rnacentral:rRNA from 1 species
UACGAAGGGGGCGAGCGUUGUUCGGAUUUACUGGGCGUAAAGGGCGCGCAGGCGGCUAUCCAAGUCAGGCGUGAAAUCCCCGGGCUCAACCUGGGAACUGCAUUUGUGACUGCAUCGCUGGAGUGCGGCAGAGGGGGAUGGAAUUCCGCGUGUAGCAGUGAAAUGCGUAGAUAUGCGGAGGAACACCGAUGGCGAAGGCAAUCUCCUGGGCCUGCACUGACGCUCAUGCACGAAAGCGUGGGGAGCAAACAGG